UUUCCUGCUUUAAAAUGAACUGUUAUUAAAUAACAAUUGAAUUUUACAACAACAUUGUUAAAUAAUAAACUCAACUUCAUAACAAUGGAUGAUGGAAGCUUAAAACAAAUUUUCUUACAUGUAUAAUAUCUAGGACUAGCAUAUAAUGGCAGAGGUAUGGUCUAACCGCUUAACUGCUACUUGAAAAAUUAAAAUUUUAAAAAUAAACAAAGACUUCAAUUACAAGAUGAAAUAUUUUCCAAAAAAAAAAAAAAAUUAGGGGCUGAAAUAUGCAUUCAUUUCAUCAACCCGCUCUUGCCUGGAGUCUGCCUUUCUGCUUAUUCUUUUCUUGGUCUCUGGACUUUUUUUACGACUUGUUUCACUUACCAAUUGCCUUGCUGGUUUCAUCCUUCUCACAUCUUCUUUAAACUCUCCAAAGCUCUGCCUCAACUCCUCAUCUAGUUGCUCGCAAUCAUCUAUAGCCCGAUAAGAUUCAAGAGUAUGAUGUAUAAUUUUCUUGGAAGGCGUGUUCUCUGGAUAUUCGAUUAUUUCUUGUCUAGGUUUGUUCAAGAAAAUUCCAAGUUCCAAGGACACAAAAGCAUCCAGACAAGCAUACUCUAUCUGUUCAAUUGUAAGCUCUUUAGCAUUCCAUUCACUCAUUGUGAUUUCUCUUGGCUUGGGAAUCACUUUCUGAAGCAAAUCAAGCACUAAAGCCUUCAAUCCCAAUUUUCGAUAGUCUCUAUCAUGAUAUAUCUUGGCUGCCCAAUAACCUACAUCUUUUGUAUGAGCCACAAGCAGCUCAUAAUCUUCAAAUAGUUUACAAGCAUCAUUCCAUACUCCUUUACCAACAAAUUUGAACUUCUUAUUCCCAAGAAAUUGGAUCAAAGAUGGUGGGAUAUCAUCUGCAUGAUAAAGUUGAAAAAUAAGGCAUCUUUUACCCACACAUAGUUGAAUGAUGGCAACUUGUUGGUGUCCAUCUGGUUCGGUAGGCAUACACCAUUCAGUAUCAAGGCCAAUAAGAAGUUCGCCCAGUUCACGCUUGUGGAUAUGCAUUGUAUUGGCUAUCCAUUCAUCGACAACAACAGCUGCUGCUGUGACAGUUGUGAAGAUAUGAUCACCAUAGUAUUGGAUGUCAUGUAUGGAGGAAGGACCUGUGAUUUCACACUAGCUUCUUUCAGUCCAUUUGAUGGAUCUUUUCCACAGCUAGAGUUGGUAAAAUUGCCAUAGCCUCACCAUCAAUAAUGAGAAGAUCACCCUUCUUGAAGCACUUUGUUGCGAAUUUCGCUAUGUAUCUCUUCUUGUUUUCUCUUAUACUGAUAGCUUGUACCUCACCAAGUACUUCUUCUCCAAUAUACACAGGGCUCUUAAAAUGCAAGCUUUGAGAAACAUAAACAGCUCCAGGAAAAUGGGAUGCAAUAAUCCGAGGAAACAGUGCAGCAACAAGCAUUCCAUGAACAACCCGAUCCUCGAAGCCAGCAUUCCUGGCAGAUUCGGCAUCAAAAUGAAGAGGGUUUGAGUCAUGACUCACCUUUGAGUAUUCUAUAACAUCUUCAUUUGAGAAUACUCUUGUUUGCCUUAAAAUGUCUCCAGUUUGAAGCACACUUGGAGCUGUCCAUGAAAAGCAUCUGGCAUAGGGGACAGUCCUUGAGAGCAAACUUUUUAUGAACAUCAUCGUGAAAAGACUCCCUGCAAUUUCUUGAUUUAUUAACGCAAUCCAGGCCAAGAGUAAAUCUUAUUCGAUCGAAAAGCUUCCCAAUAACAUAAACCACUACAGAUUUCGAUGGCAAUACCGGAUAUUCUAUACUAGUGAAAAAACGCUUGGGGAUAGGACGGGUCUAAAGCACACAACACCAUGUCGUAUUUUGAAGUCACAUGCUUUCGUCCUAUUUGGGUUUUUCUUUAGCCCAGUCUAGCCUGCUCUCUUUACAUUACUCUCCAACUCGCAGGCUCUUCAACUGUUUGUUUGGUGGAAGUUGUGGCUCUCUGUUGAGGGUGUUUGGCGCAAGGGAAAGGAAAAGAAGAUAAAGAAAUGGCAUUUAAUGGUAGAGGGAGUAAUUACUACAUAAAAAUGUUAGCAAGUGAAAUAGGGAAUACUAUAAACAAAGCAGCGAGCAACAGAGAAAAAGGAUGGUACACUCCUUUCAUGGCAGCUGCCUCUCGAGCCAUUGCAGAACGAAUCCCACUGGUUGAUUUCAUUCUUGAAGUGAGAGAUGCUAGGAUUCCUUUGUCUUCGGAAUGUCAGCUACUGACCAAUUAUCUGCCUUGCUCUCGCCGAAUCAUAGUGAUGAACAAAAUGGACCUUGCUAAUCGCUCCCACCUCAAGGUCAGUUAGGCCCUUCCAUUUCCACAAUUCCAUGGCCAAUUCUUUUACUAGAGAAGCUUCAGUUGUGAGCUAUUUAGGAGAAUGGGAAUAGUGGAGUUUGAUACUACAACUAAACUUUCUAUUGUCUUGCUGUCUAGUGUUAGUAUUUUCUUUAUCUUUGUUUAUUCAUAGGACUGGAUCAAGUAUUUUGAGCAACGAAACUGCAUUUCUUAUGUGAUCAAUUCUCAUAACAAGGAAAAUGUCAAAAAGGUAACCAUUUCUUUUAUUUGUUCUGUUUGAAUUUAAGUGUGCAUAUGCCUACCGAUCAAAAUGACUGCAAAUUCCAGAACUUUCAAUGGCAUUGUUUUGUUUUCUUUCUUUCUUUUUCUUUUUGGGUACAUAUUGUGAUGCUUCUUCUUUCUUUUCAUUAGCAAUUUAUAAAGGGUUUGCUUUCUGUAGUUCCUUAACUUUUUACAAGCCCAAAUCAAAGGAUUGAAGAACAUUGAUCAUUCUUGUUCUACCUUAACAAUGAUGAUGGUGGGGAUUCCUAACGUUGGUAAGUCGGCUCUAGCCAAUUCUUUGCAUCAAGUUGGAAGGAUUAGUGCUGCAGAGAAAGGAAAAUUGAAGCAUGCAAAAGUGAGUCCACAUCCGGGAGAGACAAAAGAUAUCAGCAGCUUGAAGAUUGGUAGCCAUCCCAAUAUUUAUGUGUUGGACACCCCAAGUAUUUUGCCUCCUCAAAUUCUUGAUGCCGAGGUCUGUUCCAGGCUAGCUUUAACAGGUGCAAUUAUGCCAGCAUCCCUCUUCCUGCUACACAUGCUCAAAAUUUUUUCCCUUCUUCUCAUGGGUGUGAAUGAGUGUGAUAGUCUCUCUCUCUCACAAAAGCAGGAGCAAUUAGCGACUCUUUGAUUGGUGAAAAAGAACUUGCUCAAUAUUUUCUGGCCAUUCUCAACUUGAGUGAUGAAUAUAAGAAAUGGGCAAAGUUGUCUGCCCUUGAAAAUGAGAGAUCAUUUAUAGACCACAAAGAAGAGUGUUCAAGCGGCAGACAGCCAUGCAUGAAAGGAGAAAGGCAACAUUUCACUGAUCACACUCAGGAUUUCAUAGUACAUAAUGUUCGGCGAAAGCUCUUUGAGACAAUUUCAUGUUUUAAUGGUGACAUGCAAAAUGAAGUGGAUUUGGAGAAGCUUAUUGAGUUGCAAUUCACAACCUUGACCGAAGCUUUUCACUUGCCUAUUGAAUUAGGGGAUAACGCUCGUAGUAAGGUUGCUACUAAGCUACUUAAUCUGUAUCGUAUUGGGAGGCUUGGACAUUACACUUCAGACCCUCUUGCAUUCUAACUGUAACGACACUGGAAUUACUCAUAAGGAGAGAGCAGGUUAACGAAAGAAAGAUUAAAAGAAAAGAAAUUGCCUAUACCAUAACUAACAGUAACCUUCAUUUUAUUUGUUUUCCAACCCUUUACAUGUCUGCUUGUCAUUGUGUAAUGUGAUUGGUGCUUUUUUUUUCAUUUGAAAAGAACAGUUUUUGUAUAUCUCA
rnacentral:misc_RNA from 1 species